CUCUCUCUCUCUCUCUUAUUAAUUAUUCCUCUUCUACACGAAAACCCUAAUCGCCUCUGAGGAGCUCAAUCCCUCUUCCGGAUCUGAGUGAACAAUCGACGGUAAUGUCCGAAUCAUUGAUCUUCUUAUUUUAUGUUUGAGUUUGAAUGGUUUUCCUCCAGUUUCAAUUGUAGCCGCCUGUCCUUCGUCUGCACAUCUUCGAUCUUUCAAUGUCGCUCCACAAUUAGGGUUUCUUCUUCUUCAAUGUCUCUGUUGAUCCUCCAUCUCUGUGUGUCCUUAUUUUCAUUUUAAAGUUUUCUAUGGAUUAUUUGUAUUGUUAUCAAUUCAAUCUAAAUAGAUCUGUGUUGAAGGAUGUGCGAACAGAGAUCUAGGGUUAGAUCUGGCAAAACAUUUGGAUGAUUUUGGAUCUGUUAUUGUGUUAGGAGAUGCCAUGUUGAGGCUGAACAGUGAUUGGAGCAAUUGCAGCUGGGAAUGUUGUUGUUUUGAAGCCCUCUGAACUUGCUCCGGCCAUCUCAUCAUUGUUGGCAAAACUUUUAGGAAAAUAUCUGGACAAUUCAGCAAUAAAAGUUGUUGAAGGCGCUAUUAAUGAAACAUCUGCCCUCCUGGAGCAAAAGUGGGACAAAAUAUUCUAUACAGGGAAUGGGCGAGUGGCACGAAUUGUCAUGUUGCUGCUGCAAAGAAUCUGACACCUGUAGUCUUAGAACUUGGAGGCAAAUCUCCUGUUUUGGUCGAUUCAAACAUCGACUUAGUGUUACAAUUGAAGGUACAGAGUUCCUGAUGGGUGUGAUGUGGAUCGGGACGAGGAGACGUCUCGGAUACAAUGAUGGUGAACUAAAGAGGGAGGAUUUGAA